rnacentral:rRNA from 1 species
CAGUCGCCACGGUAAUACGUAGGGUGCGAGCGUUAAUCGGAAUUACUGGGCGUGAAGCGGGCGCAGACGGUUACUUAAGCAGGAUGUGAAAUCCCCGGGCUCAACCUGGGAAUUGCGUUCUGAACUGGGUGGCUAGAGUGUGUCAGAGGGGGGUAGAAUUCCACGUGUAGCAGUGAAAUGCGUAGAGAUGUGGAGGAAUACCGAUGGCGAAGGCAGCCCCCUGGGAUAGCACUGACGUUCAUGCCCGAAAGCGUGGGUAGCAAACAGGAUUAGAUACCCCUGUAGUCCCUGUCUCUUAUAC